GAUGAACGCUAGCUACAGGCUUAACACAUGCAAGUCGAGGGGUAGCAGAGUAGCAAUACCGCUGACGACCGGCGCACGGGUGAGUAACACGUAUCCAACCUUCCCAUAACUCAGGGAUAGCCUUUCGAAAGAAAGAUUAAUACCUGAUAGUACUUUUUCAAGGCAUCUUGAGAAAGUUAAAGAUUUAUUGGUUAUGGAUGGGGAUGCGUUCCAUUAGAUAGUUGGUGAGGUAACGGCUCACCAAGUCUUCGAUGGAUAGGGGUUCUGAGAGGAAGGUCCCCCACAUUGGUACUGGGACACGGACCAAACUCCUACGGGAGGCAGCAGUGAGGAAUAUUGGUCAAUGGGCGAGAGCCUGAACCAGCCAAGUAGCGUGAAGGAUGAAGGUCCUAUGGAUUGUAAACUUCUUUUAUAGUAGAAUAAAGUGACCCACGUGUGGGUUUUUGUAUGUAUACUAUGAAUAAGGAUCGGCUAACUCCGUGCCAGCCGCCGCAGUAA
rnacentral:rRNA from 1 species